UACAGAGGGUGCAAGCGUUGCUCGGAAUCAUUGGGCGUAAAGGGUAGGUAGGUGGUCUCAUUUGUCUAGGGUGAAAUCCUUGAGCUUAACUCAAGAAGUGCCCUAGAAACGGUGAGACUAGAGUCCUGGAGAGGGUCGUGGAAUUCCCGGUGUAGCGGUGAAAUGCGUAGAGAUCGGGAGGAACACCAGAGGCGAAGGCGGCGACCUGGACAGGUACUGACACUGAACUACGAAAGCGUGGGGAGCAAACAGG
rnacentral:rRNA from 1 species